CUGGAGCUGCUCAACUCUCCGGAGACCUGACUCCAGCCUCUCGUCACACUGGCUAGAAGUCAAGCAUGAAUGCAAAACCCCACAAAAGUUUUCCGCAGUUGCAGCCUCCAGUUCCUCUGCUCCCAUUCUCCUACAUCCACGAAAAUUGGUGCUUGCCAAGAUCGCUGAAGGCCUCCACGCUGAAGGACUCCUCCAGUGGUCAACUCUGCCUUUACCGUAGUUAACACUGCAGCGGGAUCUGAACAGUGCUUCGCCUCCGUGUACAACUGGACUCCUGCGUGCCUGCAUGCUCACACUGCUUCUCCCUCUCCCUCCUAGGCACUGCUCAGGCCUCACGGCCGCAAUCGCCCCAUCUCGCCCAUGCCAGUCUUGCUCCUCCCAGUCACUCUGCACUCACUCCCCGGCCACCUCACAGAGUUAAGUGGCAUCUACAUGCUGAGGGCUGUACAUCUAAGUCCCUGGCCAGACCUGUCUCUCCAGACUUGACACUCCGCUUGUCUGCAUGAUACCCAGCCGAACCAAAC
rnacentral:lncRNA from 10 species